CAAAAUUUAUUUCCCUCCACCCUCUCCGUCGCAUUCGCCCACCGGCACGCUCCGUCGCCGUAGUUCUUUUUAUUUCUUCAUUUCCUUUCCGCUUCAAACCCCGCCGUCACACACGAGUACUGCAUUCUUCUGCUCUUCGACUGAGGUCAACACUCUUGUCUUCCUCAACCUCUCCCUCUCUUGCUCGCCGUAGGCAUCAAUUUUUUUUGUUCAGUUUAUUUUCUUCGUUUAGCUGAAAUUUGAAUGUGGUCAAGUUUAAUCGAAAAUCCUCCCGAAUCCGACACAAGCUUGUAUUCGAACUAAUUAGGGUUAGUCUUUCGUUGUUUAUGCUUCAAUUUUUCUAUAAUAUCCUCUGUUAAGCCUAGAAAUGAAGGGAAUACAAAAGAAUUGUUUGUAUAUCUUACUCUCAGGCUUAAGGUUGGGGGUGGGGGUUGGAAGUUUUCUUUCUCUCAUAGUUUUGAAUAAUUUAUGGUCUAAAUUGUGGGCAUUGAUGUCAGGUUAGGCCUUAUAUCUCUCCUUGUGCACAUUUCUUGCUCGUAUAUGUAAUUGUAGAAACUAAAUCACGGUUUCCUUUUUAUUUUAUUUUAUUUUUUCCUAAAACGUUUGAUUCUUGUGUUAGGAUAAUUCCAUUAACUUUCAUUUGUUCCUUGAUCCUUCAUUUCGUCUUCAUCAAUCAUUUCGUCUCUGUUCUUCAUUUAUUCAUUUCUUUGUCUGCAUCAUUUAUUUUUCACCUCUUCAAUUCUCUGUUCGUCAUUUCGUCUUUGCCUCGUACCCCUGUUUGUCAUUUCGUUUUCACACUUCGCCAUUACGUUGUCACUGGUAAGUAGCAUUUUCACUAUUUUCUCAUCUCUUUGCUUUGUUGUGUGUUUUUGUUGUUUAGAACACUUUCCUCGAGUAAAGGUAUUUUGGUUUAAUUUGGUUGAUGGGUUUUGAUUUCUUGAAAGCAGAAAUAGUGUUUAAUUUAGGCCCCUGACUGUUCGUCAUUUCGUUUUCGCACUUCGCCAUUCCGUCGUAUCAGUAGCAUUUUCACUAUUUUCUCAUCUCUUUGCUUUGUUGUCUGUGUUUUUGUUGUUUAGAACACUUCCCCCCAAUAAAGGAAUUUUGGUUUAAUUUGGUUGAUGAGUUUUGAUUUCAAGUAGAAAUAGUGUUUAAUUUAGGAUAUGGUGUUGAUACUGCCAAAAAAGUGCCCAGAUGAUGGUAUUGAUGUGUAAGUUAUGUCCAGAUGAUCAAAAAUGCCCAGAAAUGCUCAGAUGAUGGUAUUGAUGUGUAAUUUAUGUAUGGUAUAGAUGUGUAAGUUAUAAUGUAUUUGUUCACUAGUUUUCUUUUAAUGUAUUUGUUCAUGUAAUGUGAACAAUCAACAAACAUAUUUUUGCUUGAUUCUACCGCCAACUUCAUUCUCUCUUCACAUAAAAACCAACUCCCACUUUACAGAAAAAAGAGGAAGGGUCCGUGAUGAUGGGAAAAGUAGUUGAGCUUUGGCUGCUAUUUAUAGAGGUUAAUAGUUGAGGCUGGGGAGUGACACUGUUUGUUCCUUGUUUUUUUUAAGCCAUUAACCCCCUUAAUUUUAUUGUCAAUGAGACAUGUGUAUGUUUAGAGGUGUCCAAGCGUUGGAGCUGUGGCAUUAUCAAAUUCUAUAAUAGGAAUAAGCCAAAAUUUCCUACCGUAGGACUAUACUCACAUUAUUUAAAUCCCUACGUCCUUGAUGCCUACGUCCUUCACUCAAGAAAAUUGUAGAAUAAUGACUCUAUGGUUUAAAUCCCUACUCUCAAAUCUUUAUUUACAUUUUUUUUUGUUUUAAAUUGUUAACCUGUUAAAUAUUGAAUCUUGUUUUUUAAGAGUCUUGAAGCAUAGUGAUGGAAGCACUUUGAGUUAUAUAAACAAGAUGUAACGUAGAUAAUAGAUUCAAUCGUAGGUAAAAGAAAAUUUAACGUAUUUGAAUAACUUUUUUGUUGCUAUUGCUUCAAAUGCACAUCUGUGUUCUGGCUUAACGAUGUUUGAGUUUAUGGUUUAAAUAAGAAGCCAAGCUUGAGAAAAAUGAAAAGAACUACUAGUAUGUGCUUUCUGUAAUUGAUGUUUUUGUUCGCGGGAACUAUACUUCUUUCAUCAACUAUAUAUUUGUUUUCUGCUGCUGAUAUGCACCUCUCAUCAACUGCCUCAAGUUGGAGUCGAGGAAGGGCCUGUUGAUUGCGAUUCUAAGCCGUUUCCUACUAGUCCCUGCAUUUUACUUCAUAGCGAGGCAUCUGAGCAAAAUGCAUUGGGGAAUUUGCUUGUAAUGUUCCUUUUAGGAGGCAUUUUUAGUGGAGUUGCUCUUAAUUGGCAGUGGAUCAUAGGAAAUGGAAGCUUUUGAAGCAUUUGACUUGAAGUUAAUAUUAUUAGUCAGGAGCUACGGCAUGACUUGUGGGCGCCACGCCCAGCCACCAUGCACCUUUUGCCUCGCCGAAUGACGAUCACCCCACGUUGAACCCUUCAAAGGUCAUGCAGAUAUGAAGUUGUUAGACUCGAUCUGUGUUGUUCUGUUCGAGUUCCUCAAGGAUUUGGUCGCCAAUUGAGUUACUCCAAUACCCAGUCACUGUUCGUCACUGUUUUGAAGUUGCAUUGCCGUUAGCCUUGCUCUCUUCUAACCAUUAUACCUCAAAUAUGAGAUUAAUGAUUUGAAUUUUAAAAGAGUUUGAGCUGCUGCUUGCCACUCAGAAGCUAGAAAUGAUCGGGCGCUUUGGCACAACUUGGAUAAGAUUUUAAGCUUUAUUGAAUGGGUCUCUAGAACCCGUUGAUCAGUUUUGGUAUCAUUAUUAAGCAAACCAGGGUUUUUGGAUGCUAAGAUUUGAUAGUUAAAGGCCGUUAGAGGAUUUUUCAUUGAAGUUAAGGUUACUUUGCUAAGUGUUGGAGUGAUUUAAGUGAAUUUUCUUCGAGUUCUUACAUGUCCAUUGAGUCUAAGCAUUAACAUUAGAUUAUUCAUAUUACUCAGGUCCUGAAGUUAACUUUUAGAGUUCAAGAAGAUAAUUUCUUCUAACUUUGGAGGUCAUGGGUAUUGUUUUAUAUGUUCGGAACAUAAAUAGUUUGGGUGAUCUUAGGAAGUGUUUAAGAUGCUUGACUCAUAGUAAUAUAAUGGAUAUAAAAAAUUUUCUUUAGAGAGAAUCUCUACUAGAAUCUCUCCGAAAAAA